UGGAGUCGUAUGCCAGCAAGAUGGAUCUUGCGGGGAUACCAUAGUGGAAAACCAAACGGAGGUUUACAUCCUCAGGUUUGAUAUUAUCUGAAAAUCCCACAGGCUGCAACAUAACGUUAAGUCAGACCCAAACUAUUUUCAAAUUAAUUUUGCUGAAUUUCGAAUAGCAUUUAGCACUACCUAAUUUUUUAUAACAAGUAUAAUGCCUACUUAGGAGCAUAUUCGUUGCUUUUGAUGCAAAUCUCAACCAAUUGUAAAUUCAUAAAGCCCGUCAUGUAAUCAAUGUAGCACUUUAUUAAUAUGUAUCAUUGCUAACUUAGGAACUUUAGUACUUCACUUUGCCCUAAAUGGUCCUCUAUUGUAAGUUCUCACAAUUAUUUCCUUAAAAAAAAUUGAAUAGAGACCUACGAGGGGUUCAACUUUAGUUCUGGCCACCAUUUUGUCACAACCUGGAUUCAGCAAGUUCAAUGGCUCAUCUACCAACCUCAGAGCGCCCUGUCUUUAAACAUGCAGUUGCACCUGACAUAAUGAAAUUAAAUAUAAGGAAGAGCUCAACACAAUAGAAGAAAGAGAUUGAAAUUAUUCUAAGAACCAUUUUGGAAAACCUCAAAA
rnacentral:lncRNA from 1 species